rnacentral:lncRNA from 1 species
AGCUUGUUCCUGAUCCGACCUCUAGACCAUCUUCGUCUUCUUUUGCCCGAGCUGCGCCGUCAAGGACUGCUCGUGAUAUCACGCUCCAGAGCUUUGAGCUACUCACCAUAGGGAAUGGGAAGAGGAAGUGAGGCUUUUUUACACGGUAACACGGUGGUGAAUGAGAGUGGAAGAAACUACGACAUUUUUAUGGAUACUUUGUUCUUAUUUUCACGAAAUUAUCGGUUUCCUAAUUUAAGGAAUAAAUCGAACAUCACUUGAUUACAAAUUAUAUGUGAUAAAGUAUAUGGUUUUAACUCGUUAAGCUAUGCACUAAAUUCCAUGUGUUUAUCUUACAAUCAAAAGAAGAAAACUAAAUCAAAAUUAAAUGUCACUAGUCCAAGUAAAUAAAAUUUAACUAUGAUUAUUUCUUUUUCAGAUAAAUUUUAAGAAUGUGAUUUAUAAUUUAUUUAGCACAUUCAACAAAAAUUACCAAUUAAAUAAGAAAUAAAUAUAAUUUAAUAACAAAAAUGAAAAGAUUAUAUAAAUUAGCGUACAAUUUUACAUAAGAUAAAGUUGAAGCUUUUAUUAGGAUUUGUUUGAUAGUUGAUUUUUUUGCUAACAUUUUUCUCAAAAUAUCAAAAAAUAAUAUUUCUUCCGUUUUACAUAGAGUAUCAUUUUCAAGGUUUUCAUCUUAUUUCCAAUACAGUUCUUAAGACUUAAUCUCUUUUUUAAAAAAAUCUUUACUCUUUCAGUUUACUAAUUAGAGAGAGGGUUAUUAUGUAGUGUAUUAUUAAAGAGUAAUGUUUUAUAUAUAUUUCUCUUAAUUUGUGUGAAAAAUACUAAGAAUGAGACUCUUUGUGAAGCAGAUGGGGUAUCUUAUAAUUUUUUUAGUAAUAUCAACUUGAAGGAGCGACAACUAAGUCAUUCGAGAAAAGUUCGUUUUAGUGAGCAUAAAGCUGCUCUUACAAUUACAAAUACCUUAGAGAAGUGCAAUCCCAUUUUCCCACUUUCUGAUUCAUCCACUGUUAUACCGGUCAUAAGUAUGCAUUCCUCCUCCAAAACAAACUUUGGAUAACAAAAG